UACGGGGGGGGUAAGCGUUGUUCGGAAUUACUGGGCGUAAAGGGCUCGUAGGCGGCCAACUAAGUCAUACGUGAAAUCCCUCAGCUUAACUGGGGAACUGCGUGUGAUACUGGAUGGCUUGGAUUUGGGAGAGGGAUGCGGAAUUCCUGGUGUAGCGGUGAAAUGCGCAGAUAUCAGGAGGAACACCGGUGGCGAAGGCGGAUCUCUGGGCCUGUCCUGACGCUGAGGCGCGAAAGCUAGGGGAGCGAACAGG
rnacentral:rRNA from 1 species